AUUGAACGCUGGCGGCAGGCCUAACACAUGCAAGUCGAACGGCAGCACAGAAGAGCUUGCUCUUUGGGUGGCGAGUGGCGGACGGGUGAGUGAUGUCUGGGAAACUGCCCGAUGGAGGGGGAUAACUACUGGAAACGGUAGCUAAUACCGCAUAACGUCGCGAGACCAAAGUGGGGGACCUUCGGGCCUCACACCAUCGGAUGUGCCCAGAUGGGAUUAGCUAGUAGGUGGGGUAAUGGCUCACCUAGGCGACGAUCCCAAGCUGGUCUGAGAGGAUGACCCGCCACACUGGAACUGAGACACGGUCCAGAAUCCUACGGGAGGCAGCAGUGGGGAAUAUUGCACAAUGGGCGCAAGCCUGAUGCAGCCAUGCCGCGUGUAUGAAGAAGGCCUUCGGGUUGUAAAGUACUUUCAGCGGGGAGGAAGGCGGUGAGGUUAAUAACCUCGCCGAUUGACGUUACCCGCAGAAGAAGCACCGGCUAACUCCGUGCCAGCCGCCGCGGUAA
rnacentral:rRNA from 1 species